rnacentral:rRNA from 1 species
ACAAGCCAUGCAUGCCCGCACACCCGGGAAGCGGCGGACGGCUCAGGACAACGGUUGCACCCCCCGCGGCGGUCCCUGCUAGCCGGACACCGCUGGCAACCCGGCGCCAAGUACGUGCGCGCAAGUGCGGACGCCCGCGGG